UACGUAGGGAGCAAGCGUUGUCCGGAAUCAUUGGGCGUAAAGCGCGCGUAGGCGGCCCUGUAAGUCCGCUGUGAAAGUCAAAGGCUCAACCUUUGAAAGCCGGUGGAUACUGCAGGGCUAGAGUCCGGAAGAGGCGAGUGGAAUUCCUGGUGUAGCGGUGGAAUGCGCAGAUAUCAGGAGGAACACCAAUAGCGAAGGCAGCUCGCUGGGACGGUACUGACGCUAAGGCGCGAAAGCGUGGGGAGCGAACGGG
rnacentral:rRNA from 1 species